rnacentral:rRNA from 1 species
AACGAACGCUGGCGGCAUGCCUAACACAUGCAAGUCGAACGAGACCUUCGGGUCUAGUGGCGCACGGGUGCGUAACGCGUGGGAACCUGCCCUUAGGUUCGGAAUAACUCCCCGAAAGGGGUGCUAAUACCGGAUAAUGUCUUCGGACCAAAGAUUUAUCGCCUUUGGAUGGGCCCGCGUUGGAUUAGCUAGUUGGUAGGGUAAAAGCCUACCAAGGCGACGAUCCAUAGCUGGUCUGAGAGGAUGAUCAGCCACACUGGGACUGAGACACGGCCCAGACUCCUACGAGAAGCAGCAGUGGGGAAUAUUGGACAAUGGGCGAAAGCCUGAUCCAGCAAUGCCGCGUGAGUGAUGAAGGCCUUAGGGUUGUAAAGCUCUUUUACCCGGGAUGAUAAUGACAGUACCGGGAGAAUAAGCUCCGGCUAACUCCGUG